rnacentral:misc_RNA from 1 species
GAAAUGCGAUAAGUAAUGUGAAUUGCAGAAUUCAGUGAAUCAUCGAAUCUUUGAACGCACCUUGCGCUCCUUGGUAUUCCUUGAAGCAUGCCUGUUUGAGUAUCAUGAAAUCUUCAAAGUAAAUCUUUUGUUAACUCAAUUGGUUUCUACUUUGUUAUUGGAGGUCUUUGCAGCUUCACACCUGCUCCUCUUUGUUCAUUAGCUGGAUCUCAGUGUUAUGCUUGGUUCCACUCGGCGUGAUAAGUUAUCUAUCGCUGAGGACACUGUAAAAGGUGGCCAAGGUAAAUGCAGAUGAACCGCUUCUAAUAGUCCAUUGACUUGGACAAUACUUUUAUGAUCUGAUCUCAAAUCAGGUAGGACUACCCGCUGAACUUAAGC